rnacentral:lncRNA from 1 species
UCCCAUAAGAUCCCCCUAUGCCUUUCUUUCUUCUCCCCUUAGGAUCCAACGCCCAAAGAAGUUGGGCAUCCACCAUCUCAACUACUAAGAGGAGCUUGGGCACCCCUCUUCCUUGCUGGUUUCCAAACCUUAGUUGCUUCAUAAUCAAGGAAAGAAAAGCAAGAGAAGAAGAGAAGAAAAAGAUCAAGAAAAGGAUCAAAGAAUUAAUCGUGAUCCAGACUUCGUUCAGAUUCACAGGAUGAUUGUUCUUAGAGAAAAAAGAUCAAUAUCAAAGAGGUCUGUUCUAGGCUAAUUCUGAGUGGAUACCCAUAG